AUUAGAUUCUGUAAUCAUUACUGACUACUGAGUAGCUGAUAUUGGGAGAAAUGCAGCUGGAUGAACAAAUUGAUUUGUAAAACUGCACUCGCACAAACAGGCCAAGGACACGACCAUUACAGGUGGAUGAUGAUACAGGAAGUCUGGGUAUUAAACGCUUCGACAUUGAUAAGGAGAGAUUGAUUCCAAUCAUGGAGAGAUGCACGGAAACCGAGCGUAACAUAGCUGCUUAUGUGCUAGACGAUGACAGAGAUAUGGAUGAAUUAUUAAUUAAGAACUAAUGGAUUGAAGCGACGCGGCUUGAGUUACGCGAUUUCUAUCCCUGGACCACAAUUUCAGAAAUGGCGAUGAACUGCGUUGGCAUUAUAAUUACAGAAAUGAAUCCUUGUGUGUGGUAUAUUCCCACACACCUCAAGGACAUGAAUUAUACCAAACUGAAGGCGGAAGGUUCCAUUGGGAAAGCAGACACUUAAUUUCCAUACAAGUACCCUGUGAACCUAGAGUACUUGCCAACUGACCCAGACCUGUGCCAUACCGUAAUUUUCAGCGCACUGCGUUUACACUGUUGUUACCAGUAUUAGGUUCAUGCAAUUUAAAUUGUUUCUCUUUCUUUGCAGAUAUUAAUCCUGUGUUUUUCCGAAAAUCCAGAUCAUUGGUUCAUACUCGUUGUAAACAUGCUAGCAUGUCAGGGGUAUUUGUAUGACUCGUGUAUUGAUGAUAGACUUUCCGCUAACCGGAUGAAGAUUACAACGGGGCAGGUAUUUCAUGUGAGGACUUUUUCGAUUUGAAUUGUAAUGCACGUUCACAAAAUACAAAAAGAAAAAGAACUAAGCCCAUUAUCACAAGAAGAUAGAUCGAUUCAAACUUCUUCAAUACUUUUGGCAUGGUUCUGUAGUCAAAGCAACUUCGUCACUUUCGUGUACCCAUCGGACGGCAGCCCUUUCGGGGGUUCCUUAGGGAUGAAAGCACUCUGAUUUGAGGAGACUAUAUCAGGCAACACAAGCCUAAGCCUUGAAUUUUGAGGGCUAUUCGAUCGAUAUCUCAUUAAGAAAAAGAUGUUCCUGGUGCUGGAAAUGCCCUUUUCAAAAGUGGUUGAAGAAAGCGUAAUAGCUCACUGGUCUAGCUCCAUGGCACGACGAUUUGGCACCAGAUAUCCGGAGGUGUGGAAAGAGCGUGUAAUGCAGAUGAAAAAUUGCUCAAAUAUCUUGUCAUACAACUGGAAACAACACCCCAAGCGCAAGAGAUUCACUAGUAUGCGGGUAGACUUGCA